CCUGCGGUCAUGCUGGGCUAGGACAAGAGGCAGAGGCAGAGAGACAGAGAGGAACCACCCUAAGAAGAGAGACCAGAUACCCUUUUCUCAUCCUUUGAGUUCAACAGAUGUCUCUUCUGGUUGCAAGUGACAGAAGCCCAAACAGAAAAGGCUCAGACCAAAGAGAAAUUUGUGGGCUCCUGAAACAGUAUGUCAGAGAGAGAUUGGGCCAGGGCUGGGAUGUGACCCCGGCUCUUUCUUGGUUUCUCCUCGCCGCUUCUCUCUGUCCUGCAGCCUCACAGUCUCAGACAGGAUUCUUUCAAGAAUUGCAAACUUGGCUGAAGACCUUCCUGUCCCCUUUCUUACCUCCCAUGUACAGGAUGGGGGUGAUGGUCCCACUUCUCUGACUCUCACCUAGAAGUUAGGAACUCCUUAAGGUAGAGGAAAGGUUCUUAUUCAUAUAGAAUGAAAUGCACUAGCUCAGUUUGUUACCAGCUGCAAAACAGUUUCAUCAAGUCACGAAAGACAAAGCUCGGUUCCAUAUGAUUCUAACUGCUCCUUCUUCUUUUCUCAUCCGUUUAUUCCUGACCCCCAAGAUAUGAGUUAGGGAAGCACAAUCUCUUUUUUAUUUUAUGACCUUGUUUUCCUUGGUCGGUGUCACACCAUUAAACCAAAUGCCCAUCCCGGCCUUUAGAAAUUCAGCGUAGCUGGGACUUUAAUAUCUCUGCAGAUGUAUGAGGGCGACAGCAGUCAAGAAUGUGGCUUAAAGUAAAAUCCCCUUUUCAUGAGCCCAUGAAGACAAAUGACAGGAGUCAACUGCCACCAGUCAAAAGGGCCAUUAGCAUUUUCUUUACUUUAGAGACAUUUCAGGCACUUCUUUAACUGCACUCCAGCCAGCUCGCUGGAUAUUCUGUAUGUGACAUCCUUCCAAAUCUUGCUCAGCUUCUGAAACCAGGCCAGGGAGUGACCACAGAAAAAGAACUAUUGGAUUAAACGGACAAUGACUGGAUUGGAUUAAAUGGUUCAUUUGACAUUUAAGAGUCCCUCUGAUGCCACUCUUCAGGUUGUACUCCUGCUGAAAUGUUGUCAUGAACUUACCCUGGCCCCUGACUUUUGCUAAAAGUCAACUUACUUAAGAGUCAAAUUUAAAUUCGGAAGUAUUUCCAGCACAAAUUUUUGACUUCUAUUGAAAAAUCAGAAACUCUGAUCCUACUGGCCCCACCUGCCCCCAUGGAAGGAAGGAAGCAGCUGGAGCUGAGGAUCCAGUGCCAUUUCAGAUGGGGCUGUCCACCCACCGUCCUCACCACUCGCUGUUCUCUAAAUACAUUCUAUGACUGGUCCCUGAAGUCCUUUGGAUGUGUGACCCCUUCUCACAUUUACUCAUCAAAAACAUUAAUCACUUGCUAUGUUACAAGAACUGUACUAAGCCCUGGAAAUGCAGAGAGAGACAGAACGUCAUCCUUUUCCUCAAAGAACUCAGAGUCAAUCACAGGAAAAGUGUAGAAAAGAGCCAGAUCUAAUCAAGUGAUAUGUGGGUCAUAGCUCCAAGCUACGAGGACCUGGAGAAGAGGCUUAUUGCAAUUGCAUUGGUCAGAGGGAAAUUCGCAGGGCACAUGGUGCCUGUAAUAGGCAGAAAUAAUCCAAGCAAAGAAGCAAGAACCUUUCAUCCAGGCAUAAGGAGAAGAGUGAACUAAAAGAACAUCGUAACAUUGUGAAACUGCAAGCAUUUCCUAACCCUCUAAUGACUCUAACCUUGGGAGCACUUGAUGGCUCAAGUGUAAUUUAAAGUCUUUUAAUACUUUUCUGUAAACCCCAGGUUAUUUAAUGCUAUCUCGUUCACUUAACUCUCUAUUUUACAGCACUGGGCCCAGCUGACUACAGUUCCACAGGAAAAGGGGCUGUCUUAGUCACUUUUCAUCCACAUAGCUGCUAAGUUCAUGAGGGGACCCAGCUACGGGCUUUAACUGCUGGUAUGGCUGCCUAUCUGAGUGUGUGAGCUCUGACUCCAGACUAUAAUGCUCUCACUGUCAGAGUGGAGGAUAAUCUACUCUAGAUGCCACAGUACUGAGUACAAUGUCAGGGAAAAAGGAAAAAAACCAGGUGUACUUUACUUUUUUUUAAAUGAAUCUGCUAGGGUUUGCAUGUGGCCCCCAAAGUUUAUGUGUUGGAAAGUUAAUCCCCAAUGCAAUAGUAUUGACAGGAGGCAUCUUUAAUAGGUUACGAUGGCUCUGCUCUCAUGAGUGGAUUAAUGUCCUAGCUCAGGAGUGGGUUUCUGUUAAAGUAGUUUGUCCCUCUCUUGCGCUCUCUCACUCUGCCCUCACUUGCCCUCGGCCUUCUGCCUCGGGAUGAUGCAGUAAGAAGGCCCUCACCAGAUGCCACUGCCAUGCUCUUGUGUUUUCCAGCCCCCAGAACCAUAGGCCAAUGAAUUUCUAUUAUUUAUAAAUGAGCUAUCUCAGGUGUUCUGUUAUAGCAUCACAAACAGACUGAGAAAAAAAUGAAUAAAGAGAUGUCGAAAUCA